ensembl:snRNA U2 U2 spliceosomal RNA
AAUGCUUCUCUGCCUUUUGGCUAAGAUCAGUGUAGUAUCUGUUCUUAUCAGUUUAACAUUGGGGAACGCCAGCCCCACUGAUGGAACAGAGAACCGCUUGAUCGUGGCCAGGGGCCGAGAGGAUUCACCCAAGCUUUUAAUUGUGCCCCAGGUUUUUGCACACCCUGGGGUGCCAGAACUCACUGGCUUGCACUUUUUUCCAGUGAAUGGCACUAG